UGCACUCACCUGCUGUUUGAAAGUGGAGA
rnacentral:piRNA from 1 species